rnacentral:rRNA from 1 species
CACAAGCGGUGGAGCAUGUGGUUUAAUUCGAAGCAACGCGAAGAACCUUACCAGGUCUUGACAUCCCGAUGCUAUUUCUAGAGAUAGAAAGUUACUCGGUACAUCGGUGACAGGUGGUGCAUGGUUGUCGUCAGCUCGUGUCGUGAGAUGUUGGGUUAAGUCCCGCAACGAGCGCAACCCUUGCCAUUAGUUGCUACGAAAGGGCACUCUAAUGGGACUGCCGGUGACAAACCGGAGGAAGGUGGGGAUGACGUCAAGUCCUCAUGGCCCUUAUAGGUGGGGCUACACACGUCAUACAAUGGCCGGUACAGAGGGUAGCCAACCCGCGAGGGGGAGCCAAUCCCACAAAGCCGGUCGUAGUCCGGAUCGCAGUCUGCAACUCGACUGCGUGAAGUCGGAAUCGCUAGUAAUCGCGGAUCAGCAUGUCGCGGUGAAUACGUUCCCGGGUCUU